AGCGCUGCGCUUCGUCGUUGCAUAGUUAUUUUAAUUGAAAAUAGCUGUUAAAAGUUGUGUAUUGUAUUAAUGAAGGUUGUGUAUGUGUUAAAAGUUGUGCGAUGGGUGACCGAGGCAGAAAAUUAGUGCAACUAGCCUGCAGUAACAGGCUAGAAACAGCGGGAUCAGGUGGUUCUAAUAACAGAUUUUCUAUGUCGGGACCUAGUGUUUUAACGGCAAACGAAAACAUAAGAUGUUAACUGCAAAACAAUAAUGAUGACAAUGACUCCUCCGAUCUUGAUGAAUCGCAAAUUGAUAUCGCCGCCCAAAUGCACAAUAUUGUCACCGAUGAUAAUAAUA